rnacentral:lncRNA from 1 species
UUUUUUGAGGCAAAUUCUCUUUACUCUGACAAUGGUGUCGUAUAGUGCUUCAGCUACUAUGUGAAAAUAAUGUGAUUAUGUAUUUAAUGUAUAAUUUACUUAAUAACAUGGUGAGAGCCAUGUUAAUAGAUUUUAGUUGGUUGUAGAAUAUAAUUUGAUUAUUACCUUGAAAAGAGGUUGUUUAAAAAGAUUACUAUAGAAUUUGUAUAACUUUAUUUUCUUUUGAUAGUAGCUUUUAAGAUUGGUUUUGAUUGAUAGUAACUUCUAAAUA